rnacentral:pre_miRNA from 1 species
UCUUAUGAUUGAGCAAAGCAAGUGGUUUCUUGAGAUGGAAUCUACCUCCUAUAAAGAUGUUGUGAA